rnacentral:rRNA from 1 species
UUAAAGAGUUCUAUAACUCCCAAACCCAUGUGAACAUACCUAACGUUGCCUCGGCAGGUCGCACCUACCUUGUAGCACCCUACCCUGUAGCACCUACCCGGGAGGUGCGGGUAAGCCUGCCGGCGGCCCACCAAACUCUGUUUGAUAUUGAAUUCUGAACCUAUAACUAAAUAAGUUAAAACUUUCAACAACGGAUCUCUUGGUUCUGGCAUCGAUGAAGAACGCAGCGAAAUGCGAUAAGUAAUGUGAAUUGCAGAAUUCAGUGAAUCAUCGAAUCUUUGAACGCAUAUUGCGCCCAUUAGUAUUCUAGUGGGCAGGACCGUUCGAGCGUCAUUUCAACCCUUAAGCCUUCGUUGCUUAGUGUUGGGAGCCUACGGCAACGUAGCUCCUCAAAGUUAGUGGCGGAGUUGGUUCACACUCUAGACGUAGUAAUUUUUUAUCUCGCCUAUUAGUUGGACUAAUCCCCUGCCGUAAAACCCCCAAUUUAUAUCAAGGUUGACCUCGAAUCGGUUCAGACAAACUCGCUAAAUUGAAGCAUCUUAGUCAGCGAAGGAAAAGAAACCAACAGGGAUUGCCCUAGUAACGGCGAGUGAAGCGGCAACAGCUCAAAUUUGAAAUCUGGCCCUCGGGU